rnacentral:lncRNA from 1 species
CAUGACUCCUACAGAGCUCGGUAAACCCCCCACAGGAGCAACCAUGCUGACAGCCAUUCCUCAAAGACGAGACGGACAAGCUUCAACAAGGUCGGGACUAUAGCUUCACCAUUCAACAAGAGGAGAUCUACUCAUGUAAAUACCUGUCUCCCCUUGAGGCUAUAAAAGGGGAGCCAGGGUUCACAAUCAGGACAGGUUCACCAAGUUCAUGCACAUACGACCAC